rnacentral:rRNA from 1 species
AGCGAACGCUGGCGGCAGGCCUAACACAUGCAAGUCGAACGAACCUUUCGGGGUUAGUGGCGGACGGGUGAGUAACACGUGGGAACGUGCCUUUAGGUUCGGAAUAACUCAGGGAAACUUGUGCUAAUACCGAAUGUGCCCUUCGGGGGAAAGAUUAAUCGCCUUUAGAGCGGCCCGCGUCUGAUUAGCUAGUUGGUUGAGGUAAUGGCUCACCAAGGCGACGAUCAGUAGCUGGUCUGAGAGGAUGCUCAGCCACAUUGGGACUGAGACACGGCCCAAACUCCUACGGGAGGCAGCAGUGGGGAAUCUUGAGCAAUGGGCGAAAGCCUGACGCAGCCAUGCCGCGUGAAUGAUGAAGGUCUUAGGAUUGUAAAAUUCUUUCACCGGGGAAGAUAAUGACGGUACCCGGAGAAGAAGCCCCGGCUAACUUCGUG